UCCCUGAUAGCUCAGUUGGUAAAGAAUCUGCCUGCAAUGCAGGAGACCCUGAUUUGAUUCCUGGUUUGGGAA
rnacentral:tRNA from 1 species